rnacentral:rRNA from 1 species
AUUGAACGCUGGCGGCAGGCCUAACACAUGCAAGUCGAGCGGUAGCACAGAGAGCUUGCUCUCGGGUGACGAGCGGCGGACGGGUGAGUAAUGUCUGGGAAACUGCCUGAUGGAGGGGGAUAACUACUGGAAACGGUAGCUAAUACCGCAUAACGUCGCAAGACCAAAGUGGGGGACCUUCGGGCCUCAUGCCAUCAGAUGUGCCCAGAUGGGAUUAGCUAGUAGGUGGGGUAACGGCUCACCUAGGCGACGAUCCCUAGCUGGUCUGAGAGGAUGACCAGCCACACUGGAACGGAGACACGGUCCAGACUCCUACGGGAGGCAGCAGUGGGGAAUAUUGCACAAUGGGCGCAAGCCUGAUGCAGCCAUGCCGCGUGUGUGAAGAAGGCCUUCGGGUUGUAAAGCACUUUCAGCGGGGAGGAAGGCGUUAAGGUUAAUAACCUUGGCGAUUGACGUUACCCGCAGAAGAAGCACCGGCUAACUCUGUGCCAGCAGCCGCGGUAA